AACACAUUUUUAAAAUUCUUUUAAAUUACCAGUAAGUAAAAAGAAAUCUGACUGCAAGAUAAGGAGAUGACAUUUAUCUGCACACCUAUCCUUUGUUCUAUGUUUCUUCUUUAGGGGUUGCAUGGGUUUUAUUUUUUUUUCAGCCCGAAAGCUAGUAGGCAGUAAACUCCAAUUCUUCAUUUUCCUGCCCAGUCACUGAUUCCUUCAGGAGAAGGUCAUCUCCAGAGCCCUCCUGUCCCAGUCUGGAGCAUGACAACUUCCCUGCCCUGUUUUACAGGUGCAGUGUAGCCCAUCAUGUAAAAAACGUGAUAGAGUAGUUUUGAAGGAAAGAACAGUGCACAUCUCCAGGAAGAGAUGUAUAACAGUGCUGCUGGCUCCCAGGAAACUCCAGCCUGUAAAUUCUCACCACCAUGAGUGAUCAGGUACAUCACCAGGUACAAAGCAAAGAAAAAGGAAAUAAGGGGAAGCAGCUUUCUGUAGGACACAGGCUUAGAUAAUUAGUUUUUCUUAUCUCUUUUGGCUCUCAGAAGACAUUCCAUUGAAGUAAAAUUUAUGGAGAAUUUUUAGUUCACUACUGUGGCAGAGGGAGUUGAUUACAGCAAAUAUGCCUAAGGCACCCUCCUGAAAGAGGUUGGGUCCUUUAACUGCUCCAGACAAGUGCAAGUCUUAUUCUUUGGAAUUUUGCACUAUUGCUAACACCAGAUCAUACUUGGGCUGUUUCAAAAGAAGGCACUAGACACCAGUUUAUCAUGAUGUUCCUGAUACAAAAUUUCACUGCCUUGGAUGAAUUGUCAGAGUGCUGUUACAGGACCUACUCUAGACCAAAACCCCAAAAAACCACCAGAAGUUCAUGUAUGUAACCCACAGGAGCCUUGGAUGCAGCAUCUUCCAGCACAGAAAGGACUGAUGAAAAACUGAGCGAGUUGAGCUACAUACCACAAGAAGGACUCUCUCUGAAUUUACCAUCUCUUCAAAACAAGAAGUUCCACUGUUGAAUACUAUUAAUUUUCUCAUGUUUUUCAUUAAUUUUCUCAUACUUUGCUUGUUAAAUAAUCAUUUUUUUCCACUUCUCUUGAAGGAGAUUUUCCUCCUGAACAGUAAGGACAGAGACUAAUUAAAUUUGCUGUCUAGAAAGACCCCUUCAAAAAUUUCCUCACAAAAUUUGCCCCGAACCAAGACAAAUACUAUUUGGUCCCCAGCAUGAGUGUUUUGGUUUGUUUUUUUUUUAAUAUCACUUUCAGCUUCAAGAUCAGACUCUAUUCCAUGUCAGCCCUCUGCAGACUGGAGGUUCAACGUAAAACAUCUGAUGGGUAAAUGUAUUUAUAUAUUUAUGAUACACAGAAUUAUUGUACUGAGUACAAUAGUACUCUUGUACAAGUACAUUUGUAACAAUGUAGUAACAAAUAGGUGUCCCCUGUAUUAGUUCUUUGCUUCUUAGUGAGUGAUGAAAACCUUGGGAAAAGGCUUUUUCUCAUCUCCUCUUCUUUUAUAUUUAAUAAAUUUUUAGAAAGAAACCA